rnacentral:rRNA from 1 species
CCUACGGGAGGCAGCAGUGAGGAAUAUUGGUCAAUGGACGAGAGUCUGAACCAGCCAAGUAGCGUGAAGGAUGACUGCCCUAUGGGUUGUAAACUUCUUUUAUAAAGGAAUAAAACGAGGCACGUGUGCCUUUUUGCAUGUACUUUAUGAAUAAGGAUCGGCUAACUCCGUGCCAGCAGCCGCGGUAAUACGGAGGAUCCGAGCGUUAUCCGGAUUUAUUGGGUUUAAAGGGAGCGUAGAUGGGUUGUUAAGUCAGUUGUGAAAGUUUGCGGUUCAACCGUAAAAUUGCAAUUGAUACUGGCAGUCGUGAGUACAGUUGAGGUAGGCGGAAUUCGUGGUGUAGCGGUGAAAUGCUUAGAUAUCACGAAGAACCCCGAUUGCGAAGGCAGCUUACUAAACUGUGACUGACAUUGAUGCUCGAAAGUGUGGGUAUCAAACAGGAUUAGAUACCCCAGUAGUC